UUAUUGGCCCUUGUCCCAAUUUCUUAUUCUAUAUCGCCACUUCGCUUGACCUAUCGAAAAUCGGAAACGGUUUUACAAAUCUCACUGUCCUCCAAAAUUGGUACCAUAUGCUAUCUCUCAUUUAUUUAAAAUAUUUUAUUAUUUCAAUCUCGGCAACCGCUUGGGUUAAUAUCAGAUCGGCCUCAUUAUUUUCUAAUUUGUCAUCUUUAUUAGUUUCACUAAGGAACCUGUUUUCCAGCGGAUUAAAUGGAGAGAUUGCCUGGACAUUGGCUAAUCUUACUAUGCUGCAAUUAUUGUAACUUGGAACUAUUCUACCAUGAUGAUUUGGCAGAAGUUGUACCAAAGUUUCUCCUGUGUCUAGAUUUACAGAUUCAUCCUUGGGUUGACUCUGGAAGAAAAUGUUGGAAACUUUCUCAUGGUUUGGAGAUUCUGCAUGAUGCUUGCUGACAUUUUUGGGUUUGGCCCUUUAUUCUUGAUGAGUUUGUUCAAGCUCUCCAUGAUUAUGUCAAUUUUAUGACAACUUUGAUUUCUUUAUUCGUCGUCAGACCCUUUAAAUAGCACCCUCUUUUCAAGGCUGAUCUUAAAGGAUAUUGAAGAUUCUGCAAGGACACAAAUGGAUGGUUCGGGAUGAAAGCCAAUACAAAGAUUAAAGAUAGCUGUAUGAAAUACGUUGUUGAAUCACCUCAACAAACGAACUCACUUUCUCAACAGACAAGAAUGAGAUUAAAGAAUUGGGAAAAGAGCUUAGUAAACUUGAAGUAUAUAAACGUAAUUAUGAGAAAUGAUAGAAUUCAUGCGCCAAGAAUUUCUGGACUUCCAGGGCACAAUAGCCUCACCAAUUACUACCGAAGAUGAAGGUUCCGACAAUAGUAAAAUCUAGGGCAUUGAAUUUGUUCUUUCUUGUAAUUUGUUAAUAUACUAGUGUUAUUUUGAUUGGAUAUUAUAUGUUGUAAAAAAUUAUUGAUAUUAUUAUUAGCCACUGAAAUAAAUGGUGCGAGCAUUUUGUA